UACAGAGGGUGCAAACGUUGUUCGGAAUUACUGGGCGUAAAGCGCGUGUAGGCGGCUCGGAAAGUCGGGUGUGAAAGCCCUGGGCUCAACCUAGGAAGUGCACUCGAAACUUCCGAGCUGGAGUUCUGGAGAGGAAGGCGGAAUUCUCGGUGUAGAGGUGAAAUUCGUAGAUAUCGAGAGGAACACCGGUGGCGAAGGCGGCCUUCUGGACAGCAACUGACGCUGAGACGCGAAAGCGUGGGGAGCAAACAGG
rnacentral:rRNA from 1 species